GGUGGCCUAGUGGUUAGAGCGUCCGCCUCGGAUGCAGGAGGUCGAGGGUUCCAACGCCGGCAGAGUCA